rfam:Fukomys damarensis contig89982, whole genome shotgun sequence.
GGAUGUGAGGGCGAUCUGGCUGCAACAUCUGUCACCCCAUUGAUCGCCAGGGUUGAUUCAGCUGAUCUGGCUGGCUAGGCGGGGUCCCCUUCCUUCCUCACCGCUCCAUGUGCAUCCCUCCCGAAGCUGCGUGCUCGGCUGAAGAGGACGACCACCCUGAUAGAGGAGGACCAUUGCCUCAGUCAAGGGUAUAUGAGUAGCUGCACUCCCCUGCUUUAGAGCCUCCUCUGCAUUUUAGCUCUUGAGAACCUGGUCAUAAGGCCAAGUGGAACUUGGAGCUUUGGAUGGAUGCUUGGCUGU